rnacentral:tRNA from 1 species
AGUCCGGUAGCCCAGUUGGUUAGAGCGUCGUGCUAAAAACGCGAAUGUCGUGGGUUCCAUCCACAUCCGGGCCA